rnacentral:rRNA from 1 species
ACUCCUACGGGAGGCAGCAGUAGGGAAUAUUGGACAAUGGGCGGAAGCCUGAUCCAGCCAUGCCGCGUGCAGGAAGACGGCCCUCUGGGUUGUAAACUGCUUUUAUAUGGGAAGAAAAGGGCUUUGCGAAGCACAUUGACGGUACCAUAGGAAUAAGCCACGGCUAACUCCGUGCCAGCAGCCGCGGUAAUACGGAGGGUGCAAGCGUUAAUCGGAAUUACUGGGCGUAAAGCGUGCGCAGGCGGUCUGUUAAGCGAGAUGUGAAAGCCCCGGGCUCAACCUGGGAACUGCAUUUCGAACUGGCAGACUAGAGUCUUGUAGAGGGGGUAGAAUUCCAGGUGUAGCGGUGAAAGUGCGUAGAGAUCUGGAGGAAUA